UAUGUAUAGAAAAUUAUAAUUAAAGAAUAUUUGUUGUUAAAGUUUAAAUUUUUGUUGAAAUAUGUUGCACGUUUUCAAGUUAAUUUAGAAUUCAUUGCUCAAGCAAAAAUUUGUAUAGUUUUUUCUUCCAUCCUUCGAUUUUCUCCAGCAUCAUUGUCGGAAGAAAAGGAAUUGAAAUGAAAGUCCAUUUUUUGUCCUAUUAGAUCGCCUAUUUUAUUCGGAAACCAUUGAAUUUUUGGAUUCAUCAUCACUGCAUUGAAAGUUUUUGUAAAUAUAUUUAUAUGACUCAAAAAAGGUGGCACUUGGUGUUUUUGAUCGUACGUCAUAAUAGUAAUGUCCAAAUACUCGCGUAGCUCAAAAGAAUGCAAGGUACUAUAAAGAUACUCAUGCACAGGAAAAAAAAAGUCUGACUCCGUUUACACCUUAAAUUCAGCCCAUGUAUUUCACAUAAGUCUGUCCUUGUUUAACGGGGCUGACUCCGUUUACAUCAUAAAUUCAGCCUCAAAAAGAGGCUGAAAGUAAAACUUUUUUUUUAGUGUGUGACUUGCACUGAAAGAAUUCAUAAUUAAACAUCUCGGAAGUGCCAAUUUUGUUUCGUAAUUUAUCUGACGAAGGUGUUUUGAUAUUGAAACCAUCGUGAUAGAUAGAUUUUGUUAAUACAUGUUGUCUGACUUUAAAGAUUUUUCUACUAUUUGGUCUGAUUUAAUGGAUUUUGUACUUAAAUAACCAUUGUCUGACUAUUGAUAUACUUUUCUACUGAAAAAAUAUUGAAAUAGACGAAUCUGCAAUACCGACCAUUCAUAUGGUAACAUAGAAGUUCUACAAUUGCAAUGUAGGGGCGAUGACUUUAGUGGCGACGCCAUAACUGAAGAAAGUCAUUUCGUUCGCACUUGAAUUAAUUAUGAAUGUUUUGUAAUAAUAAAUAAGUUUUGUUUUAUCCGAAUAAUUAAUAUUAUAUAAAAGAUAAGUAAGAAAUUAUAGAAAAAAUAAUUAUAUUUUGACAAAACGCAACAUGUCAAAAAUCAACAAUGAAAACAAUAUUUUUGUCAAAUAUUGACUAUUAAAUACAGAAUCGUGUAAUACAUUACAUCGUUACAAUUAUAAAUACGAUAUUCUUGCAUGACUGCAAUUAGUUUGACAUGAAAGAUUAAUGUUUCGCCGCAGAAUAAUAUAGAGCUGCAAUCGUCAGAGCCGCAAGAUGUAUACCUAACCUCAAAAUUGUCAAAAUGAAUAUACAUUUUGUUUUCAGAAAAUAAAAUUCUACCAAUGGUCUGUAUUCUUAGACAAAAAAUAGUUGUCACGCAUCGUGUUUACAUAUUUCUUCUCGAACUAUCAGAUUCCUCCUCCUCUGUGACUCCUGUGAAUAUUGAGUGAUGCAGACAAUUUUGAUGUAACAGAAACCUGGGAAAUUUUAUGGAUCGAAUAUAAUAAGGACAACUUAGAAAUAUUAAACUGGAGGAACCACGAUAUUCAUUAUCAUUUACCGGACAAAGAUCUUCGAGAGUUGUCCAUUUUUCAACAGGAAUCGAAACCCAACGACCGUUCGUUUUUGUUAAUUCAACAAUGUAAAAAAACUGGAAGGACAUUUUUGGUGAAAAGUGAUUCCUGGAUAUUGACUUAUAUUCAAUUUUAUUGUUUUCUACAGGAAGUGCGAUGAUACCGGAACCAUCGCCCA